UACGGAGGGGGCAAGCGUUGUUCGAAAUCAUUGGGCGUAAAGGGUGUGUAGGUGGUUCUAUAAGUCAGACGUGAAAUCCCUCUGCUCAACGGAGGAAUUGCGUUUGAAACUAUAGAUCUUGAGUACGGUAGAGGAGAGUGGAAUUCCCAGUGUAGCGGUGAAAUGCGUAGAUAUUGGGAAGAACACCGGUGGCGAAGGCGGCUCUCUGGACCGUUUACUGACACUGAAGGGUGAAAACUCAAAAGAANUGACAGGGGNCCGCCCAAUCGGUGGAGCAUGUGGNUUAAUUCGNCGCGACGCNGAAGAACNUUAACCUGGGCUUGGAACUAGCUGAUGAAAGCGCCAGAAAUGGCGUCUCCCUUCGGGGCAUUUGCAGANGGUGNUGCAUGGCUGUCGUCAGCUNGUGUCGUGAGAUGUUGGGUUAAGUUCCGCAACGAGCGCAACCCUUACCCUUAGUUGCCAGCGGGUAAUGCCGGGAACUCUAAGGGAACUGUCGGUGAUAAACCGGAGGAAGGUGGGGAUGACGUCAAGUCCUCAUGGCCCUUAUGUCCAGGGCUACACACGUGCUACAAUGGCCGGUACAAAGAGUCGCGAAACCGCGAGGUGGAGCCAAUCUCAAAAAUCCGGUCCCAGUUCGGAUUGGAGUCUGCAAUUCGACUCCAUGAAGUAGGAAUCGCUAGUAAUCGCGGAUCAGCAUGCCGCGGUGAAUACGUUCCCGGGCCU
rnacentral:rRNA from 1 species